GGCUGCGCAGCCGGGCGGCCAGCCGGGGAACCACGUACAGCUGACGCGGGCUGCCCGGAAUCCGGGAAGCGCUGCUGCAACGCGGAGCAAAGGGCCCCUAGCACGGCGUGUAACACUCACGCUGUGCGGCGGAGCCGCAGUCCCGCUCUCGCACGCGCCAGGCAUGUGACUGUCGCUGUGUGUGUGUGUGUGUACCAGGCUCUUUGUGUGUAACGGCAACGCGCUAUGAGGGCGACGGAUUCUCACGUUCACUGUUUGUAUGUAACUGUCGCGCCAUCAUUGUGCGUGUGACACUCGCCGCCCAUGCAACACGUGUGCUCACUUCUGCUGUCACACACUCACGGCAUGUAGCACUGGUACUGCGUGCGCGAUACUCCUUCUCGGACCACAUCAAUGCGGUCAACGCUCCUCUGUGCCUGCCAGUUCAGAUUUCACUGCAUUUUCUGGCAAUGUCUUAGUUUUCUUGCUGAUGGCACAAUCUCUCCGCACCUUCCCCACCCCAGAGAGAGACGUUAAACACAACGAGCUCCCAUGAAGGAGUCUGCUUUUUCCAGUCCUCUUACAUAAGAGUUUUGGAGCAACAGAGUUUUCUACUGCCAGAUAUAUCACUGCUGCGUGUUACCUGGCA